UACAGAGGUCUCGAGCGUUGUUCGGAUUCAUUGGGCGUAAAGGGUGCGUAGGCGGCGCUGUAAGUCAGGUGUGAAAUUUCGGAGCUUAACUCCGAAACUGCAUUUGAUACUGCGGUGCUUGAGGACUGGAGAGGAGACUGGAAUUUACGGUGUAGCAGUGAAAUGCGUAGAGAUCGUAAGGAAGACCAGUGGCGAAGGCGGGUCUCUGGACAGUUCCUGACACUGAGGCACGAAGGCCAGGGGAGCAAACGGG
rnacentral:rRNA from 1 species